UUGCAGGUCCCAUCUGCAGCUUCCUGGUCUC
rnacentral:piRNA from 1 species